rnacentral:lncRNA from 1 species
AAUGCCAAAAAGAGGGUGGCAGCAUUUAAUUUUUGGUGUAAAACUAGAGUGGUGUGGAGGAGUCCUUCUAUAAUUGAAACUUUUUCAAGUUGGGUAGGAGUCCAAUUAAAAUAGACCUAAUCCAAUCAAGUUAAAGGCAACAGGUUCAGUUUAGCUCAAACACUUUGAACUUAAUCUAAUCAGGAACUUGAGUUAAAACAAUAUGCU